rnacentral:rRNA from 1 species
UACAGAGGGUGCGAGCGUUGUCCGGAAUCACUGGGCGUAAAGGGCGCGUAGGCGGCUUGGUAAGUAGGGGGUGAAAUCUCACGGCUCAACCGUGAGGCUGCCUUCUAAACUGCCUGGCUUGAGCACAGUAGAGGCGAGUGGAAUUCCCGGUGUAGCGGUGGAAUGCGUAGAGAUCGGGAAGAACAUCGGUGGCGAAGGCGGCGCGCUGGGCUGUUGCUGACGCUGAUGCGCGAAAGCGUGGGGAGCAAACAGG